AGUUUUGAGAGAAGUAAAUAAAAACAAAUGUUGUAUUCCGUAUGUAUGUAUGUACGUAUUUGAUACCCGUAUUUAUGUAUGUAUUGCGUACAUAAAUAUUGGAGGAAUACGAUAUUUGCAUGUUUAUAUCUAUGGAAAAAAUCGAGUAUAUGGCCUAUGUCACUUACCGGUGGGGCCAAUGCACCCGCUGUCUAUGACCGGGAGGCC
rnacentral:lncRNA from 1 species